rnacentral:tmRNA from 1 species
GGGGGUGAUACGGAUUCGACUGGAAUGUUGAAACGGAAGCUGCAUGUGGAGGUUGCAAGGAGGCCUCCUUAAAAACCUUGUACAAUAUAACUGCAGACGAACAGUUAGCUCUGGCUGCUUAAUUCAGCCACGUCCGAAAGAUUCAGCCUGCGGGAUCUUAAGGGCGACCAGCAGUAGGCUCGCUUCUUUUUAAGCCACCUUGUUAAAAAGAAGUUAAAUCGCCACAGGGUUAGCGUUGAAAGUUUUUUAUCUGGUUUGAGCUUUCAACGCGAGAUUUUCGAACCAGAAGAAACAUGUGGUAUGCUGCCGCGAAUAUAUUUUAGGACGCGGGUUCAACUCCCGCCACCUCCACCA